rnacentral:rRNA from 1 species
AGGCAAACUUCCACUUCGGGCCAAAAGAAGCUAGUCAAACUUGGUCAUUAGAGGAAGUAAAAGUUGUAACAAGUUUCCGUAGGGUGAACCUGCGGAAGGAUCAUUA